rnacentral:lncRNA from 1 species
AGAGGCCUCCGGCGGCGCCCCCCAACAACAGCAGGGCGGUGCCACAUUGGUCCUGAGCCAGGCCUGGCCGCCGGAGACGGCGGGACUCUCUGGGAGGCCGGCGGUCCUCGGGUGUAGAGGGAGACAGCUGCCCGGGGGCACGGGCGAGCGCCUCUGGGGGUCCUGGAUCCGAGACCCGCGGCCCCGGGGUGGCGAUGACGCCUGGAGUCAUGCGGGCUUGGCUGGGCCGGGCUCUUGGGGCAGCCAGGCGCCGCUGCUGGCGUCUAGGCCACACCACCCUGAACGCGCCCGGCUCGCCUCUGAUCUGUUGAAGCUAAGCAGGGUCGGGACUGCGUCACUGCAACCGUCCAAGCCGGUGGGAGGGGCGAGCAGGGGCAGCGGGUGCCACAGACCCCAGCCAAGACCUCCGCUCCAGAACCCGAGGGCUGCUUUCCCCAGAGGAAGGACAUUUUCUUCGCCAGCCACGAGGAAAUCCGUCCCUGUGCACCCUGUUUCCCAAUGCCACCGACUUCGUGUAAACUCCAGUCCGGAGGACAGGAGAGAGACCCAGGCCUCGCCCCGUGGACAGGCUCGGCGCCACGGCUCCUGCCAGACACACGAGCACACUCUACAAAUCUCGGGGCCCACCGCAUCAAGGAGACAGAAAGAAGCAAACAAAGGAAGGACCUUAUGAAACGCACCCCCAAAGCAACCAACCAAUCCAAGGAAAAAAACAAGUCUCAGGGCUCCAUUGGUUUUCCUGGGUGGGGGGCCCUGACCCCCUGUUCUAGCCCGGCCCAAGAACCCUCCACCACACCCCGGCCUGCUGAAAGGUGCCCUGUCU